GCUCCCAUCUUCUAAUCGGUAUAGGAAGCCGGCCUCUCAAGUCGGCAAUACGAGUUCGAGUCUCGUUGGGNGUA
rnacentral:tRNA from 1 species